UACGAAGGGGGCUAGCGUUGUUCGGAUUUACUGGGCGUAAAGCGCACGUAGGCGGAUCGUUAAGUCGGGGGUGAAAUCCUGGAGCUCAACUCCAGAACUGCCUUCGAUACUGGCGAUCUCGAGUCCGGAAGAGGUGAGUGGAACUCCUAGUGUAGAGGUGGAAUUCGUAGAUAUUAGGAAGAACACCAGUGGCGAAAGGCGGCUCACUGGUCCGGGUACUGACGCUGAGGUGCGAAAGCGUGGGGAGCAAACAGG
rnacentral:rRNA from 1 species